AUGUAAUGAACUUAAAAUUCAUCUAUAAAGAUCAAUCUUUUUUUAGA
rnacentral:tRNA from 1 species